UGGAAGGACAUGAGUGGUAGCUCUUGGGCA
rnacentral:piRNA from 1 species